rnacentral:misc_RNA from 1 species
ACCGACGCUGGCGACUACAACGUCAAGGUCCGGAACCUGCGGAAGUUUCUUGAAGAUGGCGACCGCGGCAAGGUCACGCUGCGAUUCCGGGGGCGCGAGAUGGCGCACCAGGAUCUCGGGCUGAAGCUGCUUGAGCGGGUCGAGACCGAUCUGGAAGACAUCGCCACCGUGGAGCAGCGCCCCAAGAUGGAAGGGCGCACCAUGGUCAUGAUGCUCGCGCCGCGCAAGAAGAACUGAUUCGUCAUUUCGUGGAAUGCUGCAUGGCCAGCCCUCGCGCUGGCCUGCUGUUUUUUUAGACUGGAGACUGGCAAUGCCAA